rnacentral:lncRNA from 1 species
AUAUAUCUUACUGAGGCUGUUUUAAUUUGCAAAAAAUUCUCAAGCAUACUUACUUUGCAUUUAUUGCCUGAUCAAAACGGGAUCCGAGGCGGGGAAUGUCAUACUCUUAGAUCAAAGACUUUGGAAAUUAAAAUCUUUGUCAACUCUUGCUGGCAUAUUGCUUAUUAGAGGGACCAUGGGCUAUCAUUUUCUUUCUCUUUUUUUUAACUGGAUACCGAGGUAUCCCUAAUUCUACUGCCGGACACUUGUCCAUUUUUCUGCGAGGUUGUCGAGCACUUGCUCCUUUUUAUUUCCUCGAAAUAUCUCUAUUUUUGCAUAGCCCAUGCCUCUAAUGCAAUAAUACUUCGGAAAAGUGAAUCUUUCUGAAUAAAUGUCUUGAUCUUAGGAGCAUGAUAAAUCUCUCAACAAGGGUCUAACUCAUUUUGAACAAACUCAAUACAGAGUCGAUAGCUUUUAUAAUCAUAAUUAAUAUUUUCAGUUUUAUUAGGCAUAUAAAACACUGAGGAUGGUAGCUAGAAUUUUGAAGAUUUUGAAAUAAAUUCUCCAAGUAAUAAUGAUAUCAAGAAUAAGAAACUCAUACUCUACCAUCACAUAUCCCAUAUUGACUUAAGUAACACAGGGUUUUAAAAUGAUUUUAUAAUAGUUGCAAGCUUUCCAGAAAUAUUACAGAUUGAGAUUAAUCAUGAUUAGAAAUAUUUUAAUCUUUUUAUUUUAUCAUGUCGGAAACAAUAUUCUGCAUAAUCCAAAAUGUAUGUGUAAAGUAAAGUGUGCAGAGUGUGUACCUGAAUCGUGGAGUGGUGUGGUCGAAGUGUGUUUGGCAUGUCGAGGGAUCUCCCCCAUACUUGUUUUCUGCUUUCUUGCACAAAAAUAAAGUAGAGACACACAAGACAUAAUAAUAAUAAUAUUCUUUAUUAAUCUUGAGGCAUUUAUUACAAAAGACUAAACUGAUGAUAGAAGUAACAAACUUAGCGGCGCUCUAAUUCCCUAAUCUUCUUGUUGGCACUGGCAAGAUCCUGCCUAAGGCCUAGUACAACGGUGUUGUGGUUAGAGAGCUGCCUAGUGAGGGAAUUAUUCGAGGACUGGAGGUCUAUGAUAACUCUGUCUAAUCUGCGAACGUCCUCAUCAAUAUCCAUUAUAGUCUUGCGACGCUUGGGAGGUGUCUCAAAAGCAUUGAGAGCAUGCUUCGGGGCUGCCUUUGGAGGGAUGAAACAGACUUUGGCUGCUCUAAUCCCUUCAAAGUAAGGCCUUUCCUCCUCCGUAGUGUAGCGAAUACUGCUGAUCUCGCCGCUCAGGUUGGUCUUGACUCCAACGACCCUCUCAUUGGGUCUAGGUGGAAGGAUCCUUGUGCCGGUUGGCACCUUGAUGGUGGUCUUCGUCAUGGAUGAUGAUCCUUUGAGGAGUAGGGGUUGUGGCGGUGCGGUGAGAACUGGUUGAGCAUGGUAAGAUUGGGCAGAGCUGCGUUGGCGUAAUGGCAUGGCUUCUAGUUGUCGCUCUGUGUUGGCCGGGACGAGAGCACGGGCAUCGGGGUCUUCCACCGGCUCCAUGUUGAGGUUGAAGGGGACGACUUCCCAAUCAUCGUGGUACUUCUCGGCCAUUGGAGCAGCAAGGAACUAAUCAAGCUCUAAUUGAAGGAGAGAAGGCUUGGUGGCUUGGUGUUUGAAAACUGAGGUCAGGGGUCUGUUUAUAUAGGGGUCAAAAAGUGCCUCUAUGGGUUGUUCGGGUUGCUCCCGUCGAUGUACGUGCGAAACUUUCCAUCUGAGGGAUUAUUCGGAUUACCAUAAGUGCAUUUUCCAUAACAGAGAAAAUCGGGACCGAGGGGGAACAGGAGCUGGGCGCCUGCCCACCUGAUCUGGGCGCCCGCCCUCUCUCUGGCCCCUCUGUGGGCCUACUUUCUCAAGCGCCUUUCUAGAUGCGAAAUUAUUUAGAAAUAUAUAUAUAUGACCCAAAAACAUCAGAGUAAAAAGGUCGGGCUCUAAUUCUCCAUGGGAAGGUAAAAAUGGACUACGUCUAUUUCUUCUAAUUCUUUAUUGGGCUCUAAAAAUAAUUUAAGACGUUGACCAUUUACCUUGAAUAACGUACCUUCAUCAUUUUGAAGUGUGAUAGCUCCGUGGGAUGAUGAAUUAAUUACCUUAAAUGGUCCUUCCCAUUUGCUCCGGAGUUUUCCAUGCCCGAAAAGCUUCACCCUGGAAUUAAAAAGUAAUACCUUAUCUCCGGGUGUGAACUCCUUCUUCUUGAUUCUCUUGUCAUGCCACCUUUUGACUCAUUCUUUGUAGAUCUUUGAAUUGUGAUAUGCCUUCUCUCACCAUUCUUCCAAUUCUGAUAGUUGCAUUCUUCUAUAAUCUCCAGCAACAUCUAGGUCCAUAUUCCAUCUCUUUAUGGCCCAGUGUGCUUUGAACUCUAGUUCAACAGGUUGAUGGCAAGUCUCCCCGUACACCAAUUGGUAUGGAGACAUUCCAAUUGGGGUCUUGUAUGCUGUCCGGUAUGCCCAGAGUGCAUCGGGUAACUUGCCUUUCCACGCCGUUCCCAUUUCAUUUACUGUCUUCUGAAGAAUAUUCUUGAUUUGUUUGUUGGAAGUCUCUGCUUGGCCACGUGUCUGAGGAUGAUAGGGGGUAGCGACGUUGUGACAGAUUCCAUGUUUUGAUAGAUAUUGCUUGAAGCGUUUGUCGAUGAAGUGUGCUCCUCCAUCACUUAUCACUACUCUGGGGACUCCAAAUCUUGGAAAUAUAAUUUCUUCGAACAUCCUCUUUGAACUGACGUUGUCGGCAUGCUUGCAAGGUAAUGCCUCUACCCACUUGGAGACAUAGUCAACCGCCACCAAGAUGUACUCACACUUCUUUGAUGGAGGAAAUGGACCCAUGUAGUCCAUUCCCCAGACAUCAAAGAGCUCAAUCUGAAGGUUGCUGGUGAGUGGCAUUGCAUCCCUUAUAUUUAUGUUUCCGUGCCUUUGACAUGGCCCACAUCUUCUGAUAUAUUGCUUCGUGUCUUCAUACAUUGUAGGCCAGUAGAAUCCACACUGCCAGAUUUUUGAAUGUGUGCGGAAUGCUCCAUAGUGACCUCCAUAUGGUGAUGAAUGACAUCUGUCGAUGAUCUUCCAUCCUUCCUCAGCGGUCACACAUCUCCUGAGUAAGCCAUCAGAGCAUACUCGGAAGAGGUAUGGCUCAUCCCAUAUAUGUGAACGACUUUCUUGAAUAAGCUUCUUCUUGUUUGCUCCUGGUGGUACAUACCCUGAAACCAUAAAAUUAACAAUAUCUACAUACCAGGGGUCAGACCUGUUAAUCCCGUAGAGCAUGUCGUCCCGGAGUGAAUCAUUGAUGGGGGUUUCCUGUGGACUCUUAAAAUACAUUCUAGACAAGUGAUCAGCAACAGAAUUUUCUACUCCUUUUUUAUCUUUUAUUUCUAAGUCAAAUUCUUGAAGUAAUAAGAUCCAUCUAAUCAGGCGAGGUUUAGCAUCUUUUUUAGUGAGCAAAUAUUUUAGUGCAGCAUGAUCAGUGUAAACAAUUAUUUUAGCUCCAACUAAAUAAGAUCUAAAUUUAUCAAUGGCAAAGACAACAACCAGAAGCUCUUUUUCAAUGGUUGCAUAGUUAAGUUGAGCUCCUGUCAAAGUUUUACUGGCAUAAGCAAUUGCAUGAUGCUUCUUAUUUUUAGUUUGUCCCAAUACUGCCCCCACAGCAUAAUCACUAGCAUCACACAUAAUUUCAAAAGGCAACGACCAAUCAGGGGGUUGAAAGACUGGGGACUAAUCGUCCGGAAGAUUCCUUUAUGACCUUUGUUGUGGGGGUUAAGACAAGAUUUUUAAAUAGUUUAAGUGCAAAAGAUUCAGACAUGAUGUUGAUCCCCACAACAGGAUUAUAGAGAGCAUUAAAUCGAUCAGAAUUAUAAGCACGGCGUAUAGUUAUAGAGGGUGUGUCCAAACAGAUCACAUCAGAGGAAAGUUCUAAUUCCUCCAACCAUUCGCUACUCAUGACUGAGAUAAGCUCUCUCAAUUGAUAUUCACUUGGCAAAUAAAUGCUAAACUGGACGUUUUGGGGUUUGUCAAUAGAAUUGUAGUUUGAAAUGUUUCCAAAAUUGGCAAAAAGAUCAGAUUCUAUAUCCAGCAUGAAGUCCGGUGGUGGAAUUUCUUCCUCUUGUGGCUCAGAACUUGGGAUAGCUAAAGUAGAUGAAGAAUUAGGCAGAGUGUCUACUUUGGCUUCGUAGGUUUCAUCAUGAAGGGUAUUAUCCAUCUCAGCUUCUAGGAUUCUAUCUAGGAUCACUCUAGCUUCAUCAGUAGGGAUGCGAAAGAAAGAACCUCUAGACAUUGUGUGUAGCAUUUGUUUGUGAUUUUUAUGAAGACCUCGAAAAAAGUGAAAUAAAAGAAUAGGGUCUUCGAGAUUAAGGUUUGGACCAGAUUCUAAAAGAUCAAAAAAACGUUUCUAGGAUUUUCCCAAAGUUUCAUUAUCUUUUUGUUUAAAAGACAGGACUUCGAGUCUAAGGUUGGCUAUACGGUCAAGGGAAUAGAAAUCUAGACAAAAGUUGGCUCGUAAAACUCCCCAUUCACCUUGUUGUUGACUUACCUUCUGACUGUACCAUUGUCUAGCUUCUCCCCUUAAGGAAAAAGGAAAAAGCUUCCAACGUAAAGUUUUAUCAGAAAUGCCUUCAAUACGAAGACAAUCACAUGUUUGCUCAAAAUCUCUAAUAUGAAGGUAAGGGUUUUCGUCUUCCUUUCCCGAAAAAGAUAGGUUUUGAAUCAUGGCAAUCAACCUAGAACUUAACUUAUACUGGGAUGUUUGGAUAGGCUGUGAUGAUUCCCAUGGCAAAAGGUCAGUUACUGAAGUGAUUGCAGACUCAUGGAUCGAUUUAGAAUUUUGGUUUUCCAUAAGGUAAGAGUAAAGAAAAUAAAGAAUAUAAAAGAUAAGAAAAGAUAAAAGUAUAGAUACAAGCUAGUAGUAACACUCAAGGUUAUCUCAGCAACCGUCUUUCUCCCCGGCAACGGCGCCAAAAAUGCUUGUUGAUAUUUGGGAAUGCAAUAAGGAAUUGAUCCGCAAGCGCACGGACAUCGGUGAGCACUUCACCCGGGAGGUUAUCCAGAGUAUCGUAUUUAUUUUUUUACCACUAGAAGAAAGAGCGCAUCUGACUAACCGGUCUAUUACUACUAACCUUUUAGGCAACAAAGAAUGUCUCUCGAUGUGAGUGAUAAAUAGAGAAGACUGCAACCGUAGUCUUCUUUUAACCUUGGUAAGGAUGAUCUACUGUUCUAUUGGGGAGGCUAACGGAAUCUAGACACCACAAAGGAUGUUCAACCCGCACCUAUAAACCCUAUCAUUCCUGCUAACGAGAUGUGGUCUGCAAAGGUAACUCGGAAUUGUCACGUUCCUCACUACUACCACGGUCUAGCUAGUCAGGGAAUAUCUAUGAGUACCCCAGCCUAAACACCACGUUUACGCCAGCAAUGAUUACUCUAAACUCUACACGAAGAGAUUAAAGUAAACUCAUAAACCAGAAGAACAAUAAAACAAGAACUUACUAGAAUUUAGAAGUCGAAAUACUGAAGAAUCCUAGGAGCAAGCUUCGGGUUAGGAGAACUUGAUCCCGCAGGUACAAGCUUGGAGUAGACACCGACAGGCCGGGCUUCCUCCAAUCUACACCUCCACUCUAUCUCUCUCAAUCUAGUAGAAACUAGAAGAUCUAUUUCUACUGUACAUUGGUUGCUAAGCCUAAAAAGAAAUAUUAAUUAGAGAAGAGGUUUUCCUUCGAGGGCACCCCUCAAUCUCUAUGAUAAUUUCUUGUCUUCUCCAGGGGCCAGGGGGGUCUCCUUAUAUAGUCCUCCUCCUCUAUGCGUUUUUGGGUCGGUAGGCGAGGUGGUACUACAUUAUCUCAGAUCCAUUAGGUCGGUGGAACAUCCCGUGCGAAGAGAGUCCUGAAUGGAAUCCAGCAGGGGCGGGCGCCCUGGGCCUGGCCCCUUUCGGCCUCUGCCUUCUUCCCGUGGCUUCUGGAGUCUUCUAGAUGGUAGAAAAUCAUGCGGUGCGUUGAUAUCUCUAUGUAAUCCCGACAUGUGGGCCUUUCUUCCUUAUUUCCUGAUAACCCCUGCAGAAACAGAUAAACAACAAAACUCGUGGAAUUCUGUCAGAUCAAACCCUAAUUCUAGGUGUUGGUUGCAUAUUGGUCCUUUCUCUUGUUUAUUUGAUAACUAAAAUUGAUACUUAAGAACCAUCAACAGCUUCCACUUGAGCCUCUUCACCCAGUAGUACCAAAUAGUGCGUCCAAAAUGGUUUCUUAGACUAUGGUGCAUUAGGCGCAAACUAUGCACCUAUUUGCACUAAAACUUACAAUGUCUACAAACAGACCGAAGCAAGAUUCCAUAUGGCACACGUCAUCUAGGAGUUCCAUUUUGUGCGUCCAAAUUGAUUUCUAAGCAUAUGGUAUGUUCUUUGCAAAUCAUGCACCUAUCUUGCAUCAGAUUUGCACUAUCUCCAAAUUGAUAAAACCAAGCUUCCACUUGAGCCUCUUCACUCAAGUACCAACAGGUGCUUUCAAAAUGGUUUCUUACACUAUGGUGCAUUAGGCGCAAACCCUGCACAUAUCUUGCACCAAAACUAAUACUAUUUCUAAACAGACAAAAGUGAGAUUCCAUAUGACACACGUCAUCAAGGAGUUCCAUCGGGUGCAUCCAAAUUGAUUUCCAAGCAUAUGGUAUGUUCCAUGCAAACCGUGCACCUAUCUUGCACCAAAACUAACACUGUCUCCAAACAGACCGAAGCAAGAUUCGGUAUGACACGCGUCAUCUAGGAGUUCCAUCAUGUGCGUCCAGAUUGAUUUCCAAGCAUUUGCUAUGUUCCAUGCAAACCGUGCACCUAUCUUGCAUCAAGAUUAGCACUAUCUCCAAAUAGAACGAACCGAGCUUCCACUUGAGCCUCUUCAUCUAGGAGUACAAACAGGUGUGUCAAAAAUGGUUUCUUAGACUAUGGUGCAUUAGGCACAAACUAUGCACCUAUCUUGCACCGAAACUAACAUUGUCACCAAAUAGACCGAAGCGAGAUUCCAUAUGACACACGUCAUCUAGGAGUUCCAUUGGGUCCGUCCAAAUUGAUUUCUUAACAUAUGGUACGUUGCAUGCAAACUGUGCAACUAUCUUGCAUCAAGAUUGGCACUAUAUCCGAACACACCAAAUCGAGCAUCCACUUGAGCCUCUUCAACUACGAGUACCAUCGGGUGCGUCUAAAAUGGUUACUUAGCCUAUGGUGCAUUAGGCGUAAACCGUGCGCAUAUCAUCAAUUAGUUAUAGCAGGUGCGUCCUAAUUGAUUUCUGAGUAUAUCGUAAGUUUCAUGUAAACCGUGCACCUAUCUUGCAUCAAGAUUAGCACUAUCUCCAAACAGACCAAACCGAGCUUUCAUUUGAGCCCCUUGACCUAGGAGUACCAUCGGGUGCGUCCAAAAUGGUGCAUUAGGUGCAAACCGGUUACCUAUCUUGCACCGAAACUAACACUGUCUCUAAACGGACCAAAGUGAGAUUCCAUACGACACAUGUCAUCUAGGAGUUCCAUCUGGUGCGUCCAAAUUGAUUUAUGAGCACAUGGUAUGUUCCAUGCAAAUCGGGCACCUAUCUUGCAUCAAGAUUAGCACUAUCUCUAAAUAGCCCAAACCGAGCCUCCACUUGAGCCUAUUCACCUAGGAGUACCAAGAGGUGCUUCCAAAAUGGUUUCUUAGACUUUGGUUUAUUAGGCACAAACUGUGCACAUAUCUUGCACCGAAACUAAUACUGUCUCUAAGCACACUAAAGCGAGCAUCCAUAUGACACAUGUCAUCAAGGAGUUCUAUUGGGUGUGUCCAAAUUAAUUUCUAAGCAUAUGGUACGUUCAAUGCAGACCGUGCAUCUAUCUUACAUCAACAUUAGCACUAUCUCCAAAUAGACGAAAUCGAGCUUUCACUUGAGCCUUUUACCUAGGAGUACCGUCGGGUGCGUCUGAAAUGGUUUCUUAGCCUAUGCUGCAUUAUGUGCAAACCUUACACCUAUCUAGCACCAAAACUAACGCUGUCUCCAAAUAGACCGAAGCAAGAUUUCAUAUGACACACGUCAUCUAGGAGUUCCAUCAUGUGCGUCGAGAUUGUUUUCCAAGCAUUUGGUUGUUCCAUGCAAACCGUGCACCUAUCUUGCAUCAAGAUUAGCACUAUCUCCAAACAGACUGAACCGAGCAUCCACUUGAGCGCCUUCACCUAGGAGUACCAACAAGUGCGUCCAAAAUGGUCUCUUAGACUAUGGUGCAUUAGGUGCAAACUGUGCACCUAUCUUGCAUCAAGAUUAGCACUAUCUUGUCAUCUUCAAAACCGGGUGGUUGCUCAACAUAAACUUCUUCAUUGAUAUAGCCAUUGAGAAUAUGUGCACCAACAUAGGCCAACAAGAUCCUAAUUGCUUCCAAUCUAGCAACCGGGCCAUAUGUUUCACCAAAGUCAAGACCUUCAACAUGAGUAUAGCCUUGUGCUACCAAUCUUGCUUUGUUCCUGUCGACGAAAGCUGGUCGGCAGUCUACCUUGGGGUAUACCCACGGUAGUAGUUUAUCGGUAGACGGUGCGCAAACUACGAACUCGAUGGUGGCGCAAGACACGGACAAGCUUUUUAUCCAGGUUCGGCCGCCGAGUUGGCGUAAUACCUACGUCCGCGUCUGGUUGUAUUGAUUUGUGUUGAGAGAAUAUGAUGUCCUAGGGGGGUCCCUUGCCUCUCCUUAUAUAGUCCGGAGGGUAGGGUUACAGAUCUGGAAACUAAUCCUAGUCGGUUACAAUUGCCAUAGAUAGUUCGAUAUCAAUUCCUAUUCUAACCCACUAGAAUCCUGUUUGAUCUCCACGUCUUGUUUCCUUGCGCGAAACUCCGAGCUGUCGGAUCAAACCUUGAGCUUGUCUCGUAAUGGGCCAAGCCUCCUGGCCCAAGUCUAGCCGUAUGGGUAUAGGGGUUUAUACCCCCACAGCUAGUCCCCGAGCACCAUGUAUUGUGAAGUAACACGCCGUCUUGAGCUUCUUUGACCAAUGAAACUUAAUAUCUUCAAUCAUUAUGAAAGUUGCCCAAAUAGUUGCGACAACAGUUUGAACAAAUCUAAAGGCGUCCGAUUAACUUCAUCAUCAAAGAAGCCAACUGUUCGAAGAAUGCAUGGUGCUCUCGAGAAAAAAUAUUUCUUUUUCGGUGAAGUGUGCCCACUUUACUUUUUCAAAAGUACAGUCCAUCAACGAAACAAGCAAAUUCACCGCAAGGUGAAGUGUGCCCACUUAGUCCCCGAGCCUGGUAGCAGGUGACGUAGUCACAUGGUGCCAGGGUCCAAAGAAGAAUCUCCAAAGCUGCUUUGUAUGUGGGAUGCAUCGCUAGAUGCAUCGUACCGAUGUAGUCCCCGAGCUUGGUGGAAGGCAAAGUAUGAACCUUGUAGCAAGGUCUUAAAAAACCGAAAUUAUCCAGUCCCCAAGCAUCCCAUGCUCAUUUACCAUGGAGUUUGCAGUUCGACGCUCUGGUCAACCAGUCCCCGGGUGUACAAUGGUCGGCGAACUCUUUAGCUUGCUGAUUUCCAAACCAAUAAACUAAGCGAUCAGUCCCCGAGCAGCAAGCGCUCGGUGGUCGGAGCAGUCUCAACAAAUGUGACGACCAGUCCCCGAGCAUCGAGUGCUCGGUGGUCGGUGCGGUCUUUGAAGUUCUGAGUUAAUAGACUGGUCGACCAGUCCCCGAGCAUCAAGCGCUCGGUGGUCGGUGCAGUCGUUGAAGUUCCAAGUUAAUAGACUGGUCGACCAGUCCCCGAGCAUCAAGUGCUCGGUGGUCGGUGCAGUCCCCGGAUUGUUGACUCUCUGCCAUAUUUGUCUCCUUGUUUUGAAAAAAUUUUUCAAGAAAAAGUUGACGUGACGAGACCUCCUGACGGGAUGUCAGAUGGAUGCAUGAAAAGUUGCGCCUGGCAACUGUACGGCCGCCCUUUGUGCGGUUUGAGAAAAGGAAACCAUCAAUUUGUAUGAAAACUCCACCGCAUUAAUUGUCGAUGAUCAUUGAAAACCGAAACGCCGCAUCCGCCGUAUGGCCCGCCCACUUCCCGAGGAUGCGGGAAGUGGGAGGGGUGAAGUUGUGGGUUAUAAGAGCUCGACAGUUCCCCCUGUACUGCUUACCCUGCCAUUGCCUUCAAGCCUUCCACUCUUGCCUCCUUCAAUCAUCUACACCUUCCAAACUCGAAUCCACCUCCGCACCUCCAAUGGCGAAGAGCGAUUCAAAGAAGAGGUCCGAGCUGAUGGCCAAAGAAUGGAAGAAAUCCCGCAGCACCGCCAAGUCCCUCGGUGACCUCGUCGAUAUGGGGCUACUGCACAGCCCGGAGCUCGGCGGCUGGAGGGCACCGGAGGGGGAGAGCUACCACGACCCCCGCGCCAGUGAGAUCGUCGUGUUCGAAGAUUUCGUUAAGAGGGGUUUUGGGGUGCCUGUUCACCCUUUUCUUCAGGGUCUUCUUUUGUAUUAUGAGAUCGGGAUUUGCAAUCUGCACCCGAACUCAAUCCUUCUUAUUUCAACUUUUAUCCAUUUGUGCGAGGCCUAUGUAGGCAUAGAACCGCACUUCGAUCUCUUUCGCUAUCUUUUUUGUUUGAGAAAGAAGGGGGCAGUUGGAGGCUCUAAGGUUGCAGCUGUAGUAUACCUCAACCUUCGCGACGGGAUGAAGAACCGCUAUCUGCACUGCCCCUGGAACACUUCUCUGAUUGAAUGGUACAGGAAGUGGUUCUACAUCAGAGAGGAACCGGGCAGCUCCACGUUCUGCGACGUGGGAUACAUCCCCGAGAAGAGGGUGAGCUGGACCGAUCGCCCAGAGUACGACGGUCAAGUGGCAGAUCUGAUGCAGCUGAUCGACUGGUCGCGUCUGGACGGGCUAGGCGUGGUCGGCAACUUCGUGUGCCGUCGGGUGAUGCCCUGCCAGAAGAGGGUGCACUCGGCGUACGAGUAUGCUGGAAGCGUGGACCCGACCAGGAUGCGACCUGAGAUCUUGGAGAAGGCGGAGGUACAGCAGCUGUUGAACGAGCUGUUCAACUUCGCGGACGGAGGCUUCAUCCGUGGCAGUGAUCCGGUGCAAGCCUUCAAGUUGGGGCGACCAGCGCCUAAGGUAUGUUAUUGAUUACUUUGCUUUAGCAUCCGUAUGUUGUCUGCAGCUGACUUAUCUUUGUUACUUUUGCAGAUCGGAGAUGUUGACCGGUGCACAGUGUAUGUAUCACUGGCACCUGGAAUGGAGAAUCCUGCGAGAGAAAAUCCGCCGGAGGAAGACGCUGCUCGGUGUACUCGUUACACCAGCAGUGAGGAAGACCAGGCCCGCCCCGUCCCGACCACCGAGGAAAGAGUGGUGGGGAAAAGGCCAAUGGCGGCGGAUCCGUCGCCGGCGCCGACGCUACCAGCAGAGAGCAGCCGAGCGCCAAAGCGUCGUCGGUUCGUUCGGAUUACCGACGACGACGACGAGGAGGAGGAGGCCACACCAUCGUUGGUCCGGAGGCCUCAUAGCCGUCCGGACAGCGUGCCGACCACUGCUGAUCGGGUGGCCGGCGACCCUCCUGCGCCUCGCGCUGCGGAGACGGGGGCACAGGUGCCGACCGGCCGGGCAAGGAGGAGGUUCACCGCGACCCACCGUCGCUCGGACCUGUAAGUGUUCGACUUACGUAUUUUGGCGAUUUUUUUUUAACUGUUGUUGAAAAUAUCCCUCUGUUAUGUAGCGCGGCGUCGGACGUCAAUCCCGACCAGGCCUCGGAGCAGGGGACGGCCGCUCCUGUUGCCGCCGCUGAAGACGCCGCGCCACAGGUCACAGAGCAACCUGCAGCGGCGGCGGGUGCCGAGGACCAAUCUGCCCCGGCAAGUGCUGCGACGAGCACUCAGCCGAGGGAUGAGGAGGCAGCAAGGGUCCCUCCCCCGAGUACUGUUGUAGAGGAGGAGAGCAGAGUCCCAACUCCACCAGCCGAAGAAGGGAGGGAUUUGACGCCGCCCCGAGCAGGGGCUUCUUCGCCCGUGGGCUCCUCUGGCCUAGGCCAGGGACCAGUAAUGCCCUCAACCGCAGCCGGAGGUAGUGCGGCAAACGAGGAGCCCCAGGAGGCCUCUGACAACGACGUGGAGGAGGUCUAGGGUCGUCCCCGUGAUGGCCGCCAGCACGUCUACGUGUGACGCCAACGCGGGGACCACUUUAUUGGCCACGAGGAGCUCGCGGAGACGGAGGAGGCCACGAGAGUGGAGCGCGUGGCUAAGCGCCUCGUGGAGGAGGUUAAGGUAGGUGGUCCGGUGUUCUGCUGGGAUAACUUUUGUGCAGUGUUCCUGUGUUCGACAUGUGUUCUUCCUUACAGGGCGCGAUGAAAACGGCGAAGUACCGAAAACGGUGCUUCGACCAGAUUGAGGGAAUUGUGGCCGAGAAUAAGGCCUUGUCUACGGAGGUAGACCGGCUGCGGUCAGAGGUUGGGGAGAAGGUGGCCGAGGUAAACGCCCAGGAGGAGCGUCGUCUCGAGCUCACUCGUCGCUUGGCCGACCAGUACCGGCAGCGGUCAGGUCAGUCACGUGCUCCGAGCAGCUUUGUGUAGCUGCGUAGUUUACUUUACUGACCGGGUUGUGAUUCACGUAGACUUGGAGGAGGAGGUGGCGUGCCUCCGACAGGAGAAGGAGCAGCUCGGUCAAGAGCUAUUUGGGGCGCUGGAGGCCGGUCGCCGAGCAGCGGAGGAGCUAAGCCAGAGGGACCGGGAGUUGUCUGGUAUCACGCGCCGCUCCCGUUGUUUGCCUCUUAUCGCUCUGUUUGACACGCCGAGACUAACAUCUUCCUUGAUUUGCAGUGCUCAAGGUAAACACCAAGAAGCACCUGGAGGAUCUGGUCAAGGAUCGGGACUCCUGGAAGGUCAACUGCUGCAAGAUUUGGAGAGGAGCGUCCCCGGUUCUGGAUUUGAUCAGUCCCGAGCUCCCGGAGAGCCAGCCCCGCGCGCCGAGAUUGACUCCAGUGGAAAAGGCGCAAUGGGCGUGGGACUGGCUCCAACAAUUCGUGAAGGACGCCGGGGAGUUUGCUGGCGCGCAUGUCCUUAGCAUGGUGCGCGCCCACUACCCCCUGGUCGACUUGACCAGGCUGGAGAAAGGGUAUUCCAAGGAGGUCGGCCCGCAGGAGGCGGACGAGCUUCGGGGUGGUCUGCUGGACUUGUCGUCGACGGUGAUCGGCGACAUCAAUCUAUGCGGAACGGCCACUCCCCCCGACCAGCCGGGUUCAGACAGGUCGGCCAGGGAGCUGUUGGGCGCGUCUAUUGCGGGAGAUGGGCGGUCGACGCCUGCGGUCUCGACCAGCCAGGCGCCGGUGGCCCCGACCCCUUCGUCCGGGCAGCAGGGCCAGGCGGGUGAUCAGCCCGAGCAGUAGGCCAAUAGGGUAGACUGUAGGAAUAGUCUAGCGACUGCCCGUCAGGGUAUUUAUUGUAAACUUUGUAUGUAAAGUUUGUAAUAAAGUUUGCUUUUGUCAUGACUGUUAUUUUGAGCGUUGUACAAUUAUUUGAGUGACGUGCCACUGUAUUUGACUUUGUAGUCGCUAAGAGCUUCUGUUGCAGAAGGCUUUCCGAGUUCUGCGUGUAACAAAGUAUAGGCAAAAAAGAGAAACUUUUAUUAUUGACAGCUAUAAGAUAUUUACAAUCGAAGGUUAUUAGAACUUAUGGAUAAAAUCGGCGCAAUUUGUCUAUAUGCCAAGAGUUAGGCACGCGUGUUCCGUCUGGGUAUGCCAAUCUGUAGGACGUGGGUCGUGUGACUUCGGCGACCACGAAGGGUCCUUCCCAGGGAGUUGAUAGCUUGUGCAUUCCCUCUUGGCUUGUUUUCCACCUAAGUACCAGAUCGUCGACUGCGAAGGAACGGUCCUUGACGUUCCUGUUGUGGUAUCGCCUGACUGCCGCGAGAUACUUUGCUGUUCGGAGACAAGAAUUCAAAUGCUUUUCCUCCAUGCAGUUGAUUUCGAGCUCUCUGGAGUUGUCGGCUGUUGACUGGUCGAAGUUUUCAAUCCUAGGAGAACCAAGGUUAUGUCAGACGACAGGACUGCCUCUGUGCCGUAAACCAUGAAGUAGGGUGACACUCCUGUGUUCCGACUGGUCUGAGUUCGGAGGCCACAGACCACGGCCGGUAACUCUUUCAUCCAUCGACCGGGAGCCCUGUCGUUCUCGGUGUACAGCCUUUUCUUUAGGGCGUCGAUGAUCAUUCCGUUUGCGCGCUCAACUUGACCAUUGGCCCGUGGGUGAGCUACUGACACAUAUUUUAUGACUAUGCCCCUGUCAUCGCAGAAGUCCCAAAAUGUGGUGCCAGUAAACUGAGUACCCAGGUCGGUGAUUAUACUGUUUGGGAUCCCAAACCUGUGUAUGAUUUGAUUAAGGAACUACACAGCCUUCUCAGAGGUUGCUUUGACCAGUGGCAUGUAUUCAAUCCACUUGGAGAACUUGUAGAUUAAGACGAAAACGAACUUGAAGUUGCCGGGGGCUGGUUUAAAUGGCCCGAUCAUGUCGAGCCCCCAGCAGGCGAAGGGCCAGGAUGACGGGAUGGUUUGAAUCUCAUGAGCAGGUACGUGGGUCCUUUUAGCGAAGAACUGACAUCCCUCGCAGUGUCGGACCAGUUUUUCUGCGUCGUUGACCGCAGUUGGCCAAUAAAAACCUGCUCGGAAGGCUUUCCCGACCAGCGUUCUGGAUGCAGCGUGAUUGCCGCAGGAUCCGGCGUGUAUGUCCUCUAGGAGCUUGAUGCCAUCAUCUUGGGAUAUGCAUUUGAGCAGUACUUCGGAACUUGCAUUUUUUCGCAUAAGUUUGUCGUCCACCAGUAUGUAGUUCUUUGAUCGUCGAAUGAGGCAUUCAUUCUCUGUUUUGUCCUGAAAGCCUAACCCGUCCGAUAUAUAUCUUAUGAACGGGGUGCGCCAAUCGCGGCCACUGGUUGUCGGAGUGGCAUCGUCUAUGAGCAGUGCCUCGGUGAGUUGCUUUUCGACCAGGCCUGUGCCCACACUUGGCUCAUGGAUGUCCUGGACGAAAAUACCCCGCGGGAUUUGAGCCCGAGAUGACCCUAACUUCGACAACGCAUCUGAUGCCUGGUUCUUAUCCCGGACCACGUGGAUGUACUCUAUGCCGUAGAAGUUGGUUUCCCAUUUGCGAAUUUCUUUGCAGUAGAGAUCCAUCUUCUCGUGGGUUGCGUCCCACUCCUUGUUGAGCUGGUUGAUAACUAAACCAGAGUCGCCAUAGACGCAGAGGCGUUUGACUCCCAGCUCAACGGCUAGCCUUAUGUCGUGCAGGCAUGCUUCGUAUUCGGCGACAUUGUUUGAUGCCGGAAAGAGGAUCCUAAGGACGUAACGCAGUUUGUCCUUGUUAGGCGACAUGAAUAGUAUCCCAGCGCCGGUGCCGUUGAUGUUCAAGGAUCCGUCAAAGAACAUUGACCAGUGGUCGGAGACAUCGGGAAUGGGAGGCUCGUUUAGAUCCAUCCAUUCAGCGAUGAAAUCGACCAGGGCCUGAGACUUGACUGUGGUGCGGCUCUGGAACUCCAGGGAAAAUGGGCAUAAUUCCAUCGCCCAUUUUACGUUUCUGCCGUUGGCGUCUUUAUUACGCAGAAUGUCCCCGAGAGGGAAACUGGUGGUUACCAAGACUCGAUGGCCGUCGAAGUAGUGCUUCAGCUUUCUUGACGUUAUUAGAAUGGCGUAUAUGAGCUUCUGUAUUUGUGGGUACCUGGCCUUGGACUCGUUUAAGACUUGACUUAUGAAGUAAACGGGUCUCUGGACCUUGUAGACAUGACCUGGCUCAUCUCGUUCGACCACUAUUGCCGUGGAAACAACCCUGCCGGUUGCAGCAAUGUAAAGGAGUAGGUCUUCAUUGGGCUGAGGCGCUGUAAGAACAGGUGGUGAAGUGAGGAAAGUCUUAAGCUGAGCGAACGCGGCGUCGGCUUCCUCUGUCCAAGAAAAUUUUUCCGACGCUUUCAAGAGUUUGAAGAAAGGGAGGCCUUUUUCUCCUAGUCUUGAGAUGAAGCGACUGAGGGCGGCCAUACAUCCGGUGAGCUUCUGAAUAUCCUUGACGUUUUUAGGUGGUCGCAUGUCGAGUACUGCUUUUACUUUUGAAGGAUUUGGCCGUAUGCCGUCACGACUGACAACGUUGCCGAGCAGUAGACCAGAAGGGACACCGAAGAUGCACUUUUUGGGGUUAAGCUUCCACUUGUACCUAUUAAGCGCCUUAAAAGUUCGGUCUAAGUUGUCGAUUAGGGUGCUUGCAUCCCUCGUUUUGACGACGACGUCAUCUACAUAGGCCUCGACGAGGUCGUCACGAAUCUCGUCGUGGAGGCAUAGCUGUAUGGCCCGUUGAUAAGUGGCUCCGGCAUUUUUAAGUCCGAAUGACAUAGUCGUGUAGCAAUAUGCGCCGAAAGGAGUAAUGAAAGAUGUUUUGAUCUGAUCGUCUUCCUUUAGCGAGAUCUGGUGAUAGCCAGAGUAGCAGUCUAAGAAAGAGAGGAGUUCGCAUCCGGCCGUUGAGUCGACCACCUCGUCGAUGCGAGGGAGAACAAAAGGAUCUUUAGGACAGUGUUUAUUGAGAUCAGUGUAAUCAAUGCACAUUCUCCAUUCAUUAUUCUUUUUGCGUACAAGGACCGGAUUGGCGAGCCAAUCGGGAUGAUACACUUCUUUUAUGAAUCCGGCUUAUAGAAGCCGUGUUAUUUCUGUCCUAAUAGCCUCCUUUUUGUCACGAGCGAACCGUCGCAGCUUUUGCUUGAUGGGUCUUGCGGUCUUCGAGACAUUUAAGGAGUGCUCGAUCAGGUUUCGUGGGACGCCGGGCAUAUCUGCGGGUUUCCAUGCGAAAACGCUUACGUUGUCCCUUAGAAACCUGACGAGCGCGUCUUCCUAUUUGGGGUCCAGAUUGGCCUCGAUGAGGGCCGUCUUCUCAGGGCUGCCGUCGACCAGUUGUACUUCCUUAUACUCCUUGGAUUUUGAAUUCUUCCUGGCAGUCUCCUGCUCGGGUAAUCGGAGCUGGUCGGGAGGCAGCUGCGCGGCUUGGGUUGUUGUUUCUGCCAUGCGAAUUGAGAGGUCGAUGGCCUCGGUGAUCUUGAAGCUUUCCUCUUCGCAGGUAUAUGCGGUGUAGACAUUGCCUCUGACGGUUAGGACACCCUUCUCCGUAGGCAUCUUAAGGACUAGGUAUGAGUAGUGCGGGACUGCCAUGAACUUUGUCAGCGAUGGUCGGCCCAGUAUGGCGUGGUAGGUCCCGUCGAAGUCCGCGACCACAAAGUUGACGAACUUUGUCCGAAAUUGGUCUGGUGUGCCGAAUUGGACAGGCAAUGUUAUCUGUCCGAGGGGCACUGAACUCUGACCUAGCAAAACUCCCCAGAAUUGAGCAUCAUAGGGUUUUAGUUGUGCAGGAGAUAUCUUGAGAGCGGGCAGGCUGUUGCGGAAGAGGAUGUCAAUGGAGCUUCCUUCGUCCACGAGCAUGCGCUCGAAUCUAAUGCUGUUGAUGCAAGGGUCCAGGAUUAGAGGGAAACGUCCUGGUUCUGGGAUAGCGGCCCACUGAUCCUUCCUGCUGAAGGAGAUCUCCCUGUGCGACCACGGGGGAAACUUCGGGUCUGCGAUCAGUCCGUCCGUGCUGUCUAUGUUGAGGCAGGCUCUUUUUAAUAGUUUUCUUUCUCGCUUAGAUUCGAUGGAGACCUUGCCCCCGAAGAUGGAGUGGACCACGUCGGUGGGGCUGACGUAUUGGUGUCGAGGGUCCCUAUCUUGGUCCUCGUCCUCGUCUUCGUGGUCGUGCUCGUCUCGCUUGCCAUUUUUCUUGGCGGAGUCAUCUUGGGCGGCCCGCAGUGUAUAGAUGUUUUUGAGGACGCAGCACUCCUCCAUGGUAUGAUUAGAUUUUGGAUGUAGUUGGCACGGUCCCUUCAACGUUUUGUUGUAGUCUUCUUGGUAGUCUCGCCGCCCGUUGGGACGCUUGACCGUAUUCACUUCGUGGUCGUGGUCGCGGGGGCGCUUUCCUCUGAAGUCGUCGCGAUUAUCGCGCCGCCGAUCCCAGCCUUCUCUGUGAUCGCGGUUGUCGGAGCGGCGGUGGUUCCUGUUGUCGAAACGACCGCGACCGUCACCUCGCCGGGGAGGCUGGUCGGGACCUCUCGCAUCGUCCCGGAUUAGUUUCUCUGCAUCGUCAGCAUCGGCGUAAUUUUUAGCCGUGGCGAGGAGCUCCGCCAUCGUUGUUGGCCUUUUGCGCAACAGUUUGUUCCUCAGUGCUUCAUGGAAACGUAGGCCCUUGAUGAAGGCAGAGAUGGCCUCGUCGUGGGAAAUCUUCGGGAUCUUAAGGCGCAUAUCCGAGAAUCGUCGGAUGUAAUCGCGUAAAGGUUCGUUUUUCCUGUCCCUUAUCCUUUCGAGGUCAUACUUGUUUCCAGGCUGCUCGCAUGUGGCGAUGAAGUUGUCGAUAAAAGCCUGGCGUAGCUCUUCCCAAGAGUCGAAGGAGUCCUCAGGCAAGCCAAGAAGCCACUGAUGACCAGCCUGGUCGAGGACUACUGGGAAGUAGUUGGCCAUGACGUGCUCAUCCCCCGCUGCUGAUCGGACGGCGAUUUCAUAGAGAGUGAUCCAGUUCUCUGGAUUUUCCUUGCCGUCGUAUUUUUUGAGUUUCUCGAGCUUGAAAUUGCGGGGCCACACGACCUGGCAGAGGUGUGAGGAGAACUGUCUUAGGCCCGGGGCGCCGUGCGUUGCAUCGUACUCGAUACGGCGCAGGUUUUCGUGGACUGCUCUUUCCGUGGUGCGUCUGUUGAUGCGGUCACGGGCGUCUUUAGGAGGGAUGUUAUAUCGAAGAUCCCUGUGCUGGUUUACUUCUUGACCGCGCCUGCGGUUCUGCUCGUGGUGACCGUCAGCAUCCCGACCACCAUCGUCACGCCGUGAAUCCUUGCGAUGGUUGUCGGGGGAACGGCUACGGUGAUGCCUGCUGGGAGGCGGUGAGGUCCGGCUACGAUUAGUCUGGUCGGAGGUGGCUUCCGUAUAAGAGACGGCCUGGGCUCUUUUGAGCAGAGUGGUUGUCUGUCCCAUUGCGGCGAUCAGGUGCGCUCGGACGCUAGUUCGGACUCCCUGGCACUCAGGAGUAUCGGUGAGCCGAUCUAGGUUAGCCAUGGCGACAGCCACGUUGGCGCUUGGCGUUUUGUAGACUGGCUGGUCCCCGACCAUAUCAAAGGCGUCGCUGAGAUUAUGUGGUGGAAUUUGUCGUUCCUCAUCCGCGCGUCAUCGGGCGCGAUCGGCGUUACGCUGCUCGCGGAGCUGCCUUUGCUCGUCUGUUUCUCCAUCAACGACCGGCUCGUCGGCGCUGACGUUAAAAACAAUGUCUCCUCGCCGGGGGGGAAUACCGGGAAACGAGAGAAACCCGGAGGAUGUGAAAGCAAAUCCAGGUCGUAGUCCUCGUCUUCAGAGUUUAUAACUUCGGUGGGGACGGAACCGGUGCUCGAAUUGGUGCUGGAAGCCUGGCCAUCCCGUAGUUCGCGGAACGUCACCAUGUUGACGUAGUGACGAGCAGAUUGACCGUUCCUUUUUGGCAGCCAACCCGCCUUGGUGAAAACGGAUUGGAUGUGCCGUGAGUAGAAAGAGGCCGAGUUGUUCAGGCCGCAAAGAUAAUCUUCCUUCGGGUUAGCCCUGAGCUUGACGGAUCGCCCUGAGGGAGUUGAGGUUAUCGUCAGAGACGUUCCUAGCCGUUCGUGUGUAACGACACGAGUUGGCCGGCGGGAUUUGAAAAAAUCCGUUGGGGCGGCUUGAUCAGGCUGGCGCAGGAUCCCAUCUACUAGUUGGGAGGCUUCGAGUAGCUUGGAAUCGGCGCGAUCAAGCACUUGGAGAAGGUCCGAGCAGUCGAUCUUCUUUCCCUUGUAGAGCGGGAACGGUGGUCGGGCGCUCGGUGCCGUCACCCGAGUGGUCGGAGACGACAUGAUCUCAGAUUGGAUCUGAGUUUCUUCCGAAACCGUGGUCGUGAGGCCACCGCUGCGCGUAGUCCACGUGAUCUGGCCGACGGUGAGCGUGAGGCCUUCGGGCACGGUCGCGGAAGCCGGGAUUGUGACCAUCUCGUUCGCCGGAGAAGUUGCACGCACACCCCCUACCUGGCACGCCACUGUCGACGAAAGCUGGUCGGCAGUCUACCUUGGGGUAUACCCACGGUAGUAGUUUAUCGGUAGACGGUGCACAAACUACGAACUCGAUGGUGGCGCAAGACACGGACAAGCUUUUUAUCCAGGUUCGGCCGCCGAGUUGGCGUAAUACCUACAUCCUGCGUCUGGUUGUAUUGAUUUGUGUUGAGAGAAUAUGAUGUCCUAGGGGUGUCCCUUGCCUCUCCUUAUAUAGUCCGGAGGGCAGGGUUAUAGAUCUGGAAACUAAUCCUAGUCGGUUACAAUUGCCAUAGAUAGUUCGAUAUCAAUUCCUAUUCUAACCGACUAGAAUCCUGUUUGAUCUCCACGUUUUGUUUCCUUGCGCGAAACUCCGAGCUGUCGGAUCAAACCUUGACCUUGUCUCGUAAUGGGCCAAGCCUCCUGGCCCAAGUCUAGCCGUAUGGGUGUAGGGGUUUAUACCCCCACAGUUCCUUACAACUAUCCCAUCUUGAUCUUGCUUGUUGCGGAAGACCCAUCUAGUACCAAUGACAUUAUGAUCACUAGGCCUCUCAACUAAUUCCCAUACUUUAUUUCUCUAGAAAUUGUUAAGCUCUUCAUGCAUAGCAUUAACCCAAUCCAAUGCUUCAUCAAUCUUCUUUGGCUCAAUGUGAGACACAAAGGAGAAAUGCUCACAAAAUGAUGCUAAUCUCGAUCUAGUUUGCACUCCUCUUUGAAUGUCACUAAUGAUAUGAUCCAAUGGAUGAUCUCUUGCAAUAUUUGUUGGUUGGAGUAUUUGCACUUGAUUGCUUGCACUUGGUUGAUCAUGAGAUGAUGUACUAGCUUGUUGAUCUUGCACUUGUGUACCACUUGUACUAGCUUGAUUUUGAUCAUGAGAACCACUAGCUUGCACAUUUGAGGUAGGAAGCGCUUGAUCUUUGUCAUCUUCAACAUCAAUCACCUCUCUAGGCCUUAAAUCACCAAUAUCCAUGUUCUUCAUUGCAUCGGCCAAUUUAGUGCCCCUCACAUCAUCUAGAUUCUCAUCUUCCUCUUGAGAGCCAUAGGUUUCAUCAAACUCAACAUCAUGCACCUCUUCAAGAGUACCACUAGCCAAAUUCCAAACUCUAUAAGCUUUGCUAGUAGUAGAGUAACCAAGCAAGAAGCCUUCAUCACAUUUCUUUUCAAAUUUGCUCAAUCUAGUGCCUUUCUUCAAUAUGUAGCAUUUGCAUCCAAAAACCCGAAAGUAUGCAAUGUUAGGCUUUCUACCAUUCAAGAGCUCAUAUGGUGUCUUCUCCAUCAUUGGGUGACAAUAGAGUCGGUUGCUACAGCAGCAAGCCGUGUUGAUUGCUUCGGCCCAAAAAGAAUGACUCACAUUGUAUUCACUCAACAUUGAUCUUGCAAUGUCAAUCAAGGUUCUAUUCUUUCUCUCUACAAGAACAUUUGAUUGUGGACUGUACUUGGCCGAGAAUUGAUGCCUAAUGCCAAAUUCAUCACAAAGCUCAUCAACUCUUGUGUUCUUGAAUUCACUUCCAUUGUCACUUCUCACUUUCUUGAUGGUUGUUUCAAACUCGUUAUGUAUUCUCUUGACAAAUGAUUUGAAAGUUGCAAAAGCAUCACUCUUGUCACUAAGAAAGAAUACCCAUGUGUAUCUUGUGAAAUCAUCUACUAUCACAAAUCCAUAUUUAUUUCCACCAAUGCUUGUGUAUGUGGUUGGUCCAAAUAAGUCCAUGUGCAACAACUCAAAUGCCUUCCAUGUACUCAUGAUGCUCUUCUUUGGAUGAGUGUUGCCAACUUGCUUUCUGGCUUGACAUGCACUACAAAGCUUGUCUUUCUUAAAUGUGACAUCUUGCAAGCCUCUAACAAUAUCAUGCUUGAAUAACUUGUUUAAUUGUUUCAUUCCAACAUGACCAAGCCUUCUAUGCCAUAACCAACCCAUGCUAGAUUUAGUGAGCAAGCAUGUUGACAAUUUAGCAUCACUAGCAUUGAAAUCAACUAAGUAUAGAUUCUCAUAUCUAAAGCCUUUGAAUAUCAAGUUAGAUCCAUCUACACUUAUGAUCUCUACAUCAUCAACUCCAAAUAUGCAUUUGAAACCAAGAUCACAAAGUUGAGCUACGGAUAGCAAAUUGAAGUUCAAGCUCUCUACUAGUAGCACAUUGGAAAUGCUCAAGUUAUUGGAUAUAGCAAUUUUACCAAGCCCUUUGACCUUGGCUUUGCCAUUGUCACCAAAUGUGAUACUAUCAACACCAUUGUCAUCAUUUGGAUUGAUUGAAUUGAACUUGAAUCACCGGUCAUGUGUUGUGUGCACCCAUUAUCAAGUACCCAAUGCCUUCCUCCGGCUUUAUAAUUUACCUACAAAACAAAUCAAUGUUUCUUAGGUACCCACACUUGUUUGGGUCCUUGGAGGUUAGUGACUAAGCUUUUUGGUACCCAAAUGGCCUUCUUUUUUGGACCCACAAUUGGUGUACCAACAAACUUAGCAUGCACACCCUUCUCACCCUUGGUAAGCACAUAACAAGAAUCAAAUGGAAUGUAAGAUACAUUAGCAUUUUUCUUGUUCUUGUUCACUUUAUUACAAUUAAGCUCUAGGUGUCCAACUUGCUUGCAUUUGUUGCAGUACCAACCGUUGCUCUUCACAAAGCUAGGCUUGUGAGUUUCAAAGGUCGCCUUGCCUUUCUUGGGGGUAUAGCCUAAUCUCUCUUUGUUGAGAGAAAACCUUUGACUACCCAAGCACUUUAGCAAGCGGGCCUCACCACCAUAGGCCUUGCCUAGGGCGUGAGUGAGCUCAUCCACCCCUCUCUUGAGAGUCUCAUUCUCAACCUUUAGUGAGGUAUCACAAGUGACACUAACACUAGAAGUAGAGGUAGAGUUGGUGGUGGUGGAUGAAGACCUACAAGAAGAGUUAGUGGCAACAACAAUAGGUGGGUUGGGUGAUUCUUUAAUUAAGUCACAUGUUGUGCCCACAACACAUGAUACAACAACCUUUUCCCUGUUCUCUUCUAACAACAAGGAGUGAGUUUCUCAAGCUUGGUGUGAGCCUCGCCAAGCUUCUCAUGGGCUUUCACUAGCCUCUCAUGAUUAGCAUUGAGCUUAUCAAAGGAUUGCUCAAGAGCUUUUAACUUCUUGGCCAAUUCUUUGCACUUCUUGUUUUUAGAUUGAAUGAGAGAUUCGGCUUGUUCUAACAUGUCCAUGAGUUGUUCAUUAGUGAAUUCAUUUUCAUCAUCACUAUCACUAUCAUGUUCAUGUUCACUUUCACUUUCAUUGUAUUGUACCUUGUGGCCCUUGGCCAUGAAGCAUGAAGGAGUGUCGAAGAGUGAUGGCUUGUUGAUAGCAAUGCUUGCAAGUGCCUUCAUUUUUGAUGAUUUGUCAUCAUCGCUUGAGUCAUCAUCCGAAGAGGCAUCACUAUCCCAUGUCACAACAUAGGAUCAACCCUUCUUCUUCUUCUUGAAGACCAUCUUCUUCUCUUUCUUUUCUUUCUUCUCCUUCUUGUUCUUCUUGUUAUGCUCAUCAUUGUCACUAUUGUAAGGACAAUCCGCCACAAUAUGAUCGGGCCUCUUGCACUUGUAGCAUAGCCUCACAUAUUCCUUGUUCUUGGAGUUGUCCCUUCUCUUCCUUGUAUGGUAGCCCUUUUUCUUCAUCAUCUUGCCAAACUUGCGGACAAAGAGUGCUAGUGCUUCAUCAUCACUAUCAUCAUUGGAACACUCCUCAUCACUUGAUUCUUCCUUGUUCUUGCUCUUGGAUGAAGAGCUAGCUUUGAAUGCUACACUCUUCUUUUUCUUAUCAUCAUCCUUCUUCAUGACCUCAUCAUCGUAUAUUGAUCUUCGGUCAUGACAUCUCCAAGUACCUCAUUAGGAGAUACACCUGUCAAUCCACCUCUAAAGAUGAUUGUUCUCAAUGUCUUGAACCUCUUGGGCAAGCACAUCAAGAACUUGUGAAUGAAGUCCUCAUCCUUCACUUUCUCACCAAGGCCCUUGAGGUCAUUGAUGAUGACUUGGAGCCUAUAGAACAUUUUCGGAAUUGACUCAUCAUCCUUCAUAUUGAGUUUGAUAGCUUGUCCUUGAGCAUGUACAACUUGGCACUUUUUACCGUUGUAGUUACCUCAUAUGUUUCUUCUAGCCUUGUCCACACUUCACUUGCCUUCUCAAGAUCUUUGACUUGUUCAAAUACCUUUGAAUCAAUGCCAUAAUAGUUGUGUUGAGAGCCAUUGUAUUGCAUUGCUUGUUUGCUCUCUCAUUGUCGGUGGGGUUAGCGAGGUCAAGGAUCACAAAAUCAUUUUCCAUGACUUCCCACACUCUAUCAUUGAUUGAUCCAAGAUACAUUUUCAUUUUUCUCUUCCAAUAGUCAAAAGAACUUGUGUCAUCAAAGAACUGUGGUUUGCCCCCAACAUGGUCGAACACUAUUGAGCCAUAAUUUGAGCACCGAGGUUGUUAAGCCUUCACAAAACGGUGACCACGGCUCUGAUACCACUUGAAAGGUCCUUGGCUAGAGGGGGGUGAAUAGCCAAUUUAAAAAUCUACAAACUCACUAGAGCAAGAGGUUAGUAGAUAACAAGCAUAGCUUUUUGCUCUAGCUCUAAAGGGUUGUUUGCCAUCCACCUAUCCAACACUUCUAGUUGCUAUAAUCACUAAGCACACAAGAGCUAUGUCACUACUUACACUAGAGAGCUAUCUAAAGUUUCUAUACAAGUAAGUAAGCUACUCUAGUUUGUGGGAAUGUAAGAGAGAUGGUUUGAUCUUUAUACCACCGCGUAGAGAGGAUGAACCAAUCAAUAAUAUGAAGUCCAAUCACCGGGAGAAAUCCAAUGAACAGUCACAAUGGAGACACACAAUUUUCUCUCGAGGUUCGCAUGCUUUCUGGCACGCUACGUCCUUGUUGUGUCGACCAACACUUGGUGGUUCGGCGGCUAAGAGGUGUAGCACGAACCUUGUCCUCACUAGGACACCGCAAGAACUGAUCCACAAGUGAGGUAACUCAAUGACACGAGCAAUCCACUAAAGUUACCUUUCGGCUCUCCGCAGGGAAGGUACAAGACCCAUCACAAUCACCAGGAGAUGGCCACGAACAAUCACCAACUCGUGCCAAUGCUCCUCCGCUGCUCCAAGCCGUCUAGCUGGCGGCAACCACCAAGAGUAACAAGCAAACCGCAGCCAAAUCGAUCCCCAAGUGCCACUAGAUGCAAUCACUCAAGCAAAUGCACUUGGAAUCACUCCCAAUCUCACAAAGAUGAAUAAUCUAUGAAGGAUAUGAGAGGGAGGUGUUUGCUUAGGCUCACAAGAAUUCAAGUAUGCUAGAAUGCCAAGAGAGUGAGCCCUAAGCCGGCCAACAACUAUUUAUAAGCUCCUCAAAACAAAAAGAGCCGUUGGCUCUUUCACUGGGCUAAAAACGGGGUCACCUGACCUGCAGGGGGCACCAGACGCUCAACCCCUAUGUCCGGUGCUCCAGAAAUAGCCACGUGUUGCCCUAUCCACUUUCGCGCGUUGAUCUCUAACGGUCACCUGCAGAGCACCGGACGCGCUCAAGUUGGCACCAGACGCGUCCGGUACUCACCGGACUUAAACUUAGGGAGGUCUGCAAACUCGCGGGGUCACCAGACGCUGAGCACGGACCGUCCGGUGCUCACUGGUCUCAUACCCAAAGAGCAUUGCAAAAGCGCAGAACACUGUUGACGGUCCUUAAGUACUAAAAUUAAUAAUCAAAUAAACAUGAAAAAGGAUCAAUAUGAAACAAACAUCUAGAAUUAGGGUUUUAUCUGACAGAAUUCCACGAGCUUUGGUGUUUAUCUAUUUCUGCAGGGGGUUAUCAGAGAAUAUGGAGAGAAGGCCCACAUGUCAUGUUUACAACGAGAUAAUUACGUGCCGCGCAAUUUUCCUCAAUCUAGAAGAGUCCAGAAGCCACGGGAACGAACGAGAGCACGAUCGGGCUCGGGCGCAGGGCGGCCGCCCACCCCCCUUGGGCGCCCGCCCAGGGUUGGAACCCAAUCGGGACUCUGCUUCGGGACUACGCUCCACCGACCUAAAGGAUCAAUCUAAACCAUACAAUCUAUGUCGGUUUGAUCCAAUGGCUCACGUUCACUUGAGGGGACUAUAAAACCAAGGCCAAACCCCCCCUGGAGGGAGGAGAAGAGAAGAAAUCAUUAUUCAGAGGUAGCCAUCAAAGUUAGGGUUUAGAGCUUCUCUCCCAUAGAGGAUUAGAAUUAGCUACUCCCUAAUCCUUCAAGUUUAGAGGUUUCCAGAAAAGCACACAAGUAUCAGUUUCCAGAAGGAGCUCCUGUAGUGAAGGGAAGAGAGUAGAGAGAAAAGAGGAGAGUGGAAGAAAAGGUUGGGAGUUCUUUUGAUAGAGAGUUUAUCACCUAGCAAGUAGUGAUCCCGCUGUCCAAGCGGAAGUAAAAGUUGUUUAGGAAGUUCUGCUAAAAUAGAAAACUUAUCUUGAACAACUAACCCCUGGACUACUGACAUUCUGGACAGCUGACCACUAACAUUUUCUCUCACAUUUUCCACUAGUUGUGUUUUUGCCAACUUUUGUUUACAGGAUGUUUAAGAAGGUGAAGAAUGCAGGGAAGGCUCUCAAGAACAUUGGUACAAGGAGUUCAGUUCGACACUCCUCACAGCCAUCAGAGAUGAGCGUCGACCCGACACCCACACAAGCUCCGUCAUCCUCAUCAGGUCAGCAAGUUAAGAUCCUUCUCAAGAUAGGAGACCUUGGACUGAAGUCCCGAAGGGAGAAAGAAGUCUAUCAGCAGUUGAAAAACAAAGAUUUCAUUCACACCCCUACUAUCGAUCCAAUCUUACUACAAGAAACAGGUAUGGACACUGAAUUUAACUUAAUUUUCCAGAUGUUAGGUUGGACAAAUUUUUGGAAUAUAACUGAGCUGGGUUCUCAUCUUCUCACCCUCGAAUUUCUUUGCACUUUACAAUACUAUGAGGGGGGAAUUGUUUUUCGGAUGUUCAAACAGGAAAUUAUGUUGUCUUGGAGAGAGUUGAGCGACCAUCUUGGUUUCUCUUCAAGAUGCAUCCUGAACAUUGACUCCGAUUUACCCAAUUUUGAGAGAUAUCAGUUUUGGAGAGAAAUAUCUAGAGAUAAUUUUUAUAGUCAAGCCCGAACCGGUGACAUGGAACACCCCACUCUUAGGAUGUUCCACAAAUGGCUUGGGUACAAUCUUUUCUAUCGUGAUGAUAUUAGGAAAGUAAGAGUGGGAGAUUUACAACUUUUAUAUGCUGCUAUUAGUAAAGUACCUACUUCACCUGUUACACUAUUAGUUUCUCAUUGGCUUAGUAUACCUAGUCUGCAGGGACCAGUAGGAUGUACUUCACUUAUCACUCGUCUAGCCUUUAAUCUUCACUUACUAGAAAACUCAUCGUUGGAUUUCAUAGAGGAAUUAAGAAUUUAUCAUGGCUAUGACACAUUUAGACAAGCUCGGAUGUUAAAGAAAGAGGGGAAUGUAAUGCAUAUGCUAUAUGAUGAUAAAGGCAAGAUUCGGUUACCUAACCCGAACCUUGGCCUCUACGUUGUGCAAAACUUUUUGAUUGAGAUUGCAGCAACACCAGUGAACCAGAGAACUCCACAGCGAGUGGCAUCUGAAAGGGUGACCACUCACCGAGAACGCACCUGGUAUGGAGCUGACCCUGGACCAGAAGAAGCAGCGCACCUGCAUUAUUGCGAUUACAACCCUCGAGUCCUUCGAGACCCAUGGGUUCGACAUGCGCAACCACAAGAGCCAACAGAGGAGACAUGGCCGGAGAGCCAAGAUCACCAGUGGACAAACCCGCCUUUUCAUACGGGCAGGUACUCCACUGAUCCAUAUGGAGCUUCAGGAUCCAGACCUCCGCCCCAAUUUGAUGCAGGACGAUACUCUGAUGCCUCCAACGCUUUCACGAAUGAUUACUAUCAAGAGGCCGGUGCUUUCUUUACUCGUACCGACAACACCCUCCUCGACAUCCAGAACACGCAAGCAGAACAUGGAAGACUCCUGGAAGAGCAACAAAAAUGGAACCAGGACCAUGCUGCUGCAGUAGAAGAGCUGAGACAAGAUACAACAACAAUGAACGAUAACAUCACAACUAUGAUGCGGUUCUGGAACAUCAGGUAAGACCGACGUCAACAUCCAGCUUGAGGGAGUUCCUCCCCAAUUUAUCAAGUAAGUUUUUAUUUGCUCUUCUUAUUUAUUCUUUUCUAUUUUAGUAUUUUAUCUUAAAAGGAAAAACUUAGAAAACCCAAUAAAUAUUUUCUCGCUUUAAUUUACUGCACUUUAUAAACAUGAAAACAAAAUAAAAAGAGUGUGUAGAUAAGUGUGCUUUAUUUAUCUGCUAAGUUUAAUCUCUAGAAAAAACAAAAAGACCAAAAAGAUGCAUGAUGGAAAUAAUGAACAGUUGCUCUGGUUGCUUACUUUUAAGUACCUAGCUUUUAUAUUAGAAUUCUUCCAGGAAUUACUAAAACUGAAAUUACUCUCUUUGGGAAGCAUAAAACUGAAGUCUAGGUAAGCGAAAGGCAUAAUACAAAGUUUGAGCUGCUGUUUAUCUUGUUCCUACUACACUAAGUUCUGGAGAUUUAUUUUAAAAACUUACAAAUCACAUGAUGGGUUCCUAGCAUAACAAAACUACCUACCACAGCCAUACUUGCUAUAACAUCUUUUACUAUAUUUGCAUUGAGUUUGAUCGAGCUGUGUUGACCCUUAGGAGCUUUUCAUGUGGUUAAAUUAAAAUAUUCACUUGCACACAUCUACCAUAGCAUUCAUCACCAAUCAUUAAAAUUGCUAAAAAUAUUAUCACUCACUGUCCCAAAUAUUGUUAUUCUCUCUCUCUAAAAAGAUUCAAUGCAGAAGAGGCAUGGGUUAUGCAAAAAUAUACAAGGAAAUAAAAAGGGGCAAGUGCCCGGAACCUCGAUAAAAGAAAAAAAAGAGAGUAAGACGAGAGGUAAAAAUGGACAAGUGUCCGAAGUAGAAUUAGGGGUACAAAGAUGCCCACUUGAGCGGAAAAAAAUGGACAAGUGUCCGACAGUAGAAUUAGGGGUAUCUACUACCCACCUAAAAAAAAAGAAAAGAAAAAGAGAUAGCCCAUGUUCCCCCAAAGCAAAGAUCAAAGAGGAGGAGAGAUAGCAUGUGUGCCUGUCAGGAAAGAAAACAUCGAAGAACCUUCUGAUUCGUCUAAGUUUAGCUAUUUGCUCAGGGACGAGCAAAGGGUAAGCUUGGGGGAGUUUGUUGAUGGUCCUUAAGUACUAAAAUUAAUAAUCAAAUAAACAUGAAAAAGGAUCAAUAUGAAACAAACAUCUAGAAUUAGGGUUUUAUCUGACAGAAUUCCACAAGCUUUGGUGUUUAUCUAUUUCUGUAGGGGGUUAUCAGAGAAUAUGGAGAGAAGGCCCACAUGUCAUGUUUACAACGAGAUAAUUACGUGCCGCGCAAUUUUCCUCAAUCUAGAAGAGUCCAGAAGCCACGGGAACGAACGAGAGCACGAUCGGGCUCGGGGGCAGGGCGGCCGCCCACUCCCCUUGGGCGCCCGCCCAGGGUUGGAACCCAAUCGGGACUCUGCUUCGGGACUACGUUCCACCGACCUAAACGAUCAAUCUAAACCAUACAAUCUAUGUCGGUUUGAUCCAAUGGCUCACGUUCACUUGAGGGGACUAUAAAACCAAGGCCAACCCCCCCUGGAGGGAGGAGAAGAGAAGAAAUCAUUAUUCAGAGGUAGCCAUUAAAGUUAGGGUUUAAGGCUUCUCUCCCACAGAGGAUUAGAAUUAGCUACUCCCUAAUCCUUCAAGUUUAGAGGUUUGAUUAGAUAGCAAUUAGAGAAGUAGAGCACUACGCUUUGGAUUCAGAUCUUCGGUAAUAAAGAUUGGUAUUAUUCAUAUCUUUCUCUAAUUCUUUGUUCUAAUUGCAUUAUGUCGCUAAUUAUUAUGUUCUUAGUUUGUUCUAGUUCUAUAUUUGAUAUAGUUCUAAUUGAUAAUGAGUUUAUGUAUAAGUUUGCAAAGCGCUUAGCUCUUGACGCGAGGGAGUUAGGUGAUAGAUCACAUGUGAGCGUGGUGCUUAGAUGUUAUUUAUCUGCAAAUGUAUCCUAUUGGCCGGGUCGUGUGGUAGUUCGCGAUAGUGAUAGCUUCGUUGAUUCUUAUAUAGUCCACCCUCCGUUGAUAGGACAGGCAGAACCGGUAUUGUGGAGUAAGUCAUGCGAUGCUCUUAUUUACUUUAUCAAUGUUCCUUAUACAUGAAUGAAGAGUCUUUUAUGCUAUAUAUGAUCUUGUAGAUAACUAGAGUAGAUUUUGACUUAGUAGUUAGUAGAUAACUUAGAAUCCAUUCUCUAGCUAAUCCGACAUCACCUACAUAUGAGGAGUAGUCUAUUUUCUAAUCGCUGUGUUAUCUACCCAUGAACUUAUAAUUCAUUAUCAUUAUCUUUAUGGUUUACCCCCUGCUAAAGUAAGUGACUGUGUGACGAGUUUCUCAUUAGUAAUCAUGUUCUUGCAAGUUCAUCUCUAGUCUAUGCCUUGAUAGAUUUUGCCCCUUGAAUUAAUUUCAUCUUCUUUAGAUCCCUUGAGCAAAAUUAUAAAUAACGAUACCUGGAAUACUUAUCCUGGUGAAAUGCUACAAUGAGGUGUUUUAUCUGUGUGCUUGCAGAUAGAAUAGAUUAUUUUCUAGAGAGCCUUUACAUUUAUAAAUACCUUUGUACACUCUGGCACCAUGCUGGGGAUGACAACCUAGUAUCUAAGUGGUGCUAGCUAGUGUCAACAAACACUGGAAUCAAAACAUCGGAUGCUCAAACAGGGUCUAACCUACGUCCGGUGCUGGGCAUCAGGUGCCUAACCCUAGCUGAGCUAGGCACUGCCUACACAUCGGACGCACAGACACAGCGUCCGGUGCCUCUGAGCCAGCGUCCGGUGAGUGUUUGUGACUUCUCCAGUUUUCCCACUGGUGCAAUAAAAAAUUGCACGUUAUUUUCUCAAAAAAAGCGCCAAAUCAAAUUGUGCCAACACCACAAUGUGUAAACCAACAUGUGCACGUGUGUUAGAAUUUUCACAAACAUUUUCUUCAAAGGAGUUAAGUUAGCUCACUAGGUUCUAAAUGCAUGCACAUGAAUAAUAACACCUAGUGGCACUUGAUAACCGCUUAGCCAAAGAAUUCCCCUCUUUAUAGUAUGGCUAUCUAUCCUAAAUGUGAUCACACCCUUUAUGGUGUCUUGAUCACCAAAACCAAAACCCUAAGCAAUACCUUUGCCUUGAUCUCCAUAGGGUUUUGUUUUUCUCUUUCUUCUUUUCCAGGUUGAGCACUUGAUCAUCUUGUGGUCAUCACCAUGAUCAUCUCUUGCUCCAUCACUUGGCAUGUACCAACCUCAUUAAGUCUACACACACUUAGUAAGGUUAGUACUAGGGUUUCAUCAAUUAUCCAGAACCAAACUAGGGCUUUCAACAGUUUGCGCCUAAUGCACCAUAGUCUAAGAAACCAUUUUGGACGCACCUGUUGGUACUCCUAGGUUAAGAGGCUCAAGUGGAAGCUCAGUUUGGUCUUUUUGGAGAUAGUGCUAAUCUUGAUGCAAUAUAGGUGCACAGUUUGCAUGGAACGUACCAUAUGCUCAAAAAUCAAUUUGGACGCACUAGAUGGAAGACCUAGAUGACGUGUGUCAUAUGGAAUCUCGCUUUGGUCUGUUUGGGGACAGUGUUGGUUUUAGUGGAGUGCACGGUUUGCGCCUAACACACCAUAGGCUAAGAAACUAUUUUUGAUGCACCCAAUGGUGGAAGCUUGGUUUGGUCUGUUUGGAGAUAGUGCUAAUCUUGAUGCUAGAUAGGUGCAUAGUUUGCAUGGAACAUACCAUAUGCUCGGAUAUCAAUUUGGACGCACCCAAUGGAACUCCUAGAUGACAUGUGUUAUAUGGAAUCUUGCUUCGGUUUGAUUAGAGACAAUGUUAGUGUCGGUGCAAGAUAGGUGCACGGUUUGCACCUAAUGCACCAUAGGCUAAGACACCAUUCUGGAUGCACUUGUUGGUACUCCUAGGUGAAGAUGCUCAAGUGAAAGCUCGGUAUGAUCUGCUUGGAGAUAGUGCUAAUUUUCAUGUAAGAUAGGUGCAUGGUUUGCUUGGAACGUAUCAUAUGCUUGAAAAUCAAUUUAGACACACCCGAUAGAACUCCUAGAUGAUGUGUGUCAUAUGUAAUCUCGCUUUGGUCCAUUUGGAGGAAGUGUUAGUUUUGGUGCAAUUUGCGCCUAAUGGACCAUAGGCUAAGAAACAAUUUUGGAUGCACCCGAUGGUACUCCUAGGUAAAGGGGCUCAAGUAAAAGCUCGGUUUGGUCUGUUUGGAGAUAGUGCUAAUCUUCAUGCAAGAUAGUUGCACGGUUUGCAUGGAACUUACUAUAUGCUCGGAAAUCAAUUUGGAUGCACCCAGUGGAACUCCUAGAUGACGAGUGUCAUAUGGAAUCUCGCUUCGGUCUGUUUGGAGACAGUGUUAGAUUCGGUGCAAGAUAGCUGCACGGUUUGUGCCUAAUGCACCAUUGGCUAAGAAACAAUUUUGGACGCAUCUGAUGGUACUCAUAGGUAAAGGGGCUCUAGUGAAAGCUUAAUUUGGUAUGUUCGAAGAUAGUGCUAAUCUUUAUGCAAGAUAGGUGCACGGUUUGCACGGAAUGUACCAUAUGCUCAGAAAUCAAUUUGGAUGCACCCGAUGAACUCCUAGAUGACGUGUGUCAUAUGGAAUCUCACUUCGGUCCGUUUGGAGAUAGUGUUCGUUUCGGUGCAAGAUUGGUGCAUGGUUUGCGCCUAAUGCACCAUAGGCUAAGAAACCAUUAUGGAAGCACCCGAUGGUACUCCUAGGUGAAGAGGCUGAAGUGAAAGCUUGCUACGAUCUGUUUGGAGAUAGUGCUAAUCUUCAUGUAAGAUAGGUGCAUGAUUUGUAUGGAACGUACCAUAUGCUUGAAAAUCAAUUUGAACGCACCCGAUAGAACUCCUAGAUGAUGUGUGUCAUGUGAUAUCUCGCUUUGGUCUAUUUGCAGAUAGUGUUAGUUUUAGUGCAAGAUAGGUGCACGGUUUGUGCCUAAUGCACCAUACUCUAAGAAGAUAUUGCACGGUUUGUGACUAAUGCACCAUACUCUAAGAAAUGAUUUUGGACACUCCCGAUGGUACUCCUAGGUGAAGGGGCUCAAGUGAAAGCUCAGUUUGGUCUGUUUGGAGAUAGUGCUAAUCUUGAUGCAAGAUAGGUGCACAGUUUGCAUGGAAUGUACCAUAUGCUCAGAAAUCAAUUUGGAUGCACCCGAUAGAACUCCAAGAUGACGUGUGUCAUAUGGAAUCUCACUUCGGUCCAUUUGGAGAUAGUGUUAGUUUUGGUGCAAGAUAGGUGCACGGUUUGUGUCUAAUGCACCAUAGGCUCAAAAACCGUUGUGGAAGCACCCAAUGAUACUUCUAUGUGAAGAGGCUCAAGUGAAAGCUUAGUACAAUCUAUUUAGAGAUAUUGUUAGUUUUGGUGCAAGAUAGGUGCACGGUUUGUGCCUAAUGCACCAUACUAUAAGAAAACAUUUUUGAUGCACCCAAUGGUACUCCUAGCUGAAGAGGCUCAAGUGGAAGCUCGGUUCGGUCUAUUUAGAGAUAGUGCUAAUCUUGAUGCAAGAUAGUUGCACGGUUUGCAUGGAGCGUACCAUAUGCUCGAAAAUCAAUUUGGACACACCUGAUGGAACUCCUAGAUGACAUGUGACAUAUAGAAUCUCGUUUUGGUCUAUUUGGAGACAGUGUUAGUUUUGGUGCAAGAUAUUGCAUGGUUUGUGCCUAAUGCACCAUAGGCUAAGAAACCAUUUUGGACGCACCAAUUGGUAUUGCUAGGUGAAGAGGCUCAAGUGGAAGCUCGGUUCGUUCUGUUUGGCGAUAGUGCUAAUCUUGAUGCAAGAUAGGUGCACGGUUUGCUUGGAAUGUCCCAAAUGCUUGGAAAUCAAAUUGGAUGCACCCGAUGGAACUCUUAGAUGAAGUGUGUCAUAUGGAAUCUCGCUUCGGUUCGUUUGGAGACAAUAUUAGUUUCAGUGCAAGAUAGGUGCACAGUUUGCACCUAAUGCGCCAUAGUCUAAGCAACCAUUUUGGACACACCUGUUGGUACUCCUAGGUGAAGAGGCUCAAGUGGAAGCUCGGUUUGGUCUAUUUAGAGAUAUUGCUAAUCUUGAUGCAAGAUAGGUGCACUAUUUGUGUGGAACAUAUCAUAUGCUCAGAAAUCAAUUUGGACAUACCCAAUGAAACUCCUAGAUGACGUGUGUCAUAUGGAAUCUUGCUUCGGUCUGUUUAGAGACAGUGUUAGUUACGGUGCAAGAUAGGUGCACGGUUUGCGCCUAAUGUGAUGUGUGUCACAUGGAAUCUAGCUUCAGUCUGUUUGGAGACAGUGUUAUAUUCAGUGCAAGAUAGGUGCACGGUUUGCGCCUAAUGCACCAUACCCUAAGAAACGAUUUUUUACGCACCCGAUGGUACUGCUAGGUAAAGGGGCUCAAGUGAAAGCUCGGUGUUGUCUGUUUGGAGAUAGUGCUAAUCUUGAUGCAAGAUAGUUGCACGGUUAGCAUGGAAUGUACCAUAUGCUCAGAAAUCAAUUUGGAUGCACCCGAUAGAACUCCUAGAUGACGUGUGUCGUACGGAAUCUCACUUUAGUCCAUUUGGAGAUAGUGUUAGUUCUGGUGCAAGAUAGGUGCACGGUUUCUCCCUAAUGCACCAUAGGCUCAUAAACCAUUGUGGAAGCACCCGAUGGUACUCCUAGGUGAAGAGGCUCAUGUGAAAGCUCGGUACGAUCUGUUUGGAGAUAGUGCUAAUCUUCAUGUAAGAUAGGUGCACGAUUUGCAUGGAACAUACCAUAUGUAUGAAAAUCAAUUUGGACGCACCUGAUAGAACUCCUAGAUUAUGUGUGUCAUCUGAUAUCUCGCUUUGGUCUGUUUGAAGAUAGUGUUAGUUUUGGUGCAAUAUGGUGUAUGGUUUGUGCCUAAUGCACCAUACUCUAAGAAGAUAUUGCACGGUUUGUGCCUAAUGCACCAUACUUUAAGAAACGAUUUUGGACGCACCCGAUGGUACUCCUUGGUGAAGGGGCUCAAGUGAAAGCUCGGUUUGGUCUGUUUGGAGAUAGUGCAUCUUGAUGCAAGAUAGGUGCAUGGUUUGCAUAGAAUGUCCCAUAUGCUCGGAAAUCAAUUUGGAUGCACCUGAUGGAACUCCUAGAUGACGUGUGUCAUAUGGAUUCUCACUUCAGUUCGUUUGGAGACAAUAUUAGUUUCAGUGCAGAAUAGGUGCACAGUUUGCGCCUAAUGCACCAUAGGCUAAGAAACCAUUUUGAAUGCACCUAUUGGUACUCCUAGGUGAAGAGGCUCAAGUGGAAGCUCGGUUCGGUCUGUUUCGAGACAGUGCCAACCUUAAUGCAAGAUAGGUGCAUAGUUUGCAAUGGACAUACCAUAUGCUUAGAAAUCAAUUUGGAUGCACCCAAUGGAACUCCUAGAUGACGUGUGUCAUAUGGAAUCUCGCUUCGGUUUGUUUGGAGACAGUGUUAGUUUCGGUGCAAAAUAGAUGCAUAGAUUGCGCCUAAAGCACCAUAGGCUAAGAAAUCAUUUUGGAUGCACCUAUUGGUACUCCAAGGUGAAGAGGCUCAAGUGGAAGGUCGGUUCGGUUUGUUUGGCGAUAGUGCAAACCUUGAUGCAAGAUAGGUGCAUGGUUUGCAUGGAAUGUCGCAUAUGCUCGGAAAUAAAUUUGGAUGCACCCGAUGGAACUCCUAGAUGAUGUGUGUCAUAUGGAAUCUCGCUUCAGUCCAUUUGGAGACAAUAUUAGUUUCAGUGCAAGAUAGGUGCACAGUUUGCACCUAAUGCACCAUAGUCUAAGAAAACAUUUUGAACACACCAGUUGGUACUGUUAGUUGAAGAGGCUCAAAUGGAAGCACGGUUUGGUCUGUUUCGAGACAGUGCUAAUCUUAAUGCAAGAUGGGUGCACAGUUUGCAUGAAACGUACCAUAUGCUCAGAAAUCAAUUUGGACGCACCCGUUGGAACUCCUAGAUGACGUGUAUCUUGUGGAAUUUCAUUCGGUCUGUUCGAAGAGUGUUAGUUUCAGUGCAAGAUAGGUGCACGGUUUGCGCCUAAUGCACAAUAGGCUAAAAACCAUUUUGGACACACCCGAUGGUACUCCUAGGUGAAGAGGCUCAAGUGAUAGCUCGGUUCGGUUUAUUUGGAGAUAGUGCUAAUAUUGAUGCAAGAUAGGUGUACAGUUUGCAAGGAAAGUACCAUAUGCUCAGAAAUCAAUUUGGACACACCUGAUGGAACUCGUAGAUGACGUGUCUCAUAUGGAAUCUCGCUUUGGUCCGUUUUAAGAUAGUGUUAGUUUUGGUGCAAGAUAGGUGCACAGUUUGCGCCUAAUGCACCAUAGUCUAAGAAACAAUUUUGGAAAAUCUGUUGGUACACAAAGGUGAAGAGGCUCAAGUGGAAGCUUGGUCCGGUCUGUUUGGAGAUAGUGCUAAUCUUGAUACAAGAUAGGUGCAUGGUUUGCAUGGAACGUACCAUAUGCUCGGAAAUCAAUUUGGACACACCCAAUGGAACUCCUAGAUAAUGUGUGUCAUAUGGAAUCUUGCUUCAGUCCGUUUGGAGACAAUAUUAGUUUUGGUGCAAGAUAGGUGCACAGUUUGCACCUAAUGCACCAUAGUCUAAGAAACCAUUUUGAACGCACCUAUUGGUACUACUAGGUGAAGAGGCUCAAGUAGAAGCUCGGUUUGGUCUGUUUCGAGACAGUGCUAAUCUUAAUGCAAUAUACAUGCACAAUUUGCAUGAAACGUACCAUAUGCUCAGAAAUCAGUUUGGACGCUCCCAUUGGAACUCCUAUAUGACGUGUAUCAUAUGGAAUCUCGUUCGGUCUGUUUGGAGAGUGUUAGUUUCAGUGCAAGAUAGGCACACGGUUUGUGCCUAAUGCACCAUUGGCUAAACACCAUUUUGGACACACCCGAUGGUACUCCUAGGUGAAGAGGCUCAAGUGAAAGCUCGGUUCGGUCUAUUUGGAGAUAGUGCUAAUCUUGUUGCAAGAUAGGUGUAUAGAUUGCAUGGAAAGUACCAUAUGCUCAGAAAUCAAUUUGGACGCACCUGAUAGAACUCGUAGAUGACGUGUGUCAUAUGGAAUCUCGCUUUGGUCCGUUUGAAGACAGUGUUAGUUUUGGCGCAUGAUAGGUGCAUAGUUUGCGCCUAAUGCACCAUAGCCUAAGAAACCAUUUUGGAAAAUCUAUUGGUACUCAAAGGUGAAGAGGCUCAAGUGGAAGCUUGGUCCGGUCUGUUUGGAGAUAGUGCUAGUCUUGAUGCAAGAUAGGUGCAUGGUUUGCAUAGAAUGUACCAUAUGCUUAGAAAUCAAUUUGGACGCACCCGAUAGAACUCCUAGAUAAUGUGUGUCAUAUGGUAUCUCACUUCGGUUUGUUUGAAGAUAGUGUUAGUUUCGCUGCAACAUAGGUGCAUAGUUUGCGCUUUAUGCACCAAAGUCUAAGAAACCAUUUUGGACGCAUCUAUUGGUACUUCUAGGUGGAGAGGCUAAAGUGGAAGCUCGGUUUAGUCUAUUUGGAGAUUGUGCUAAUCUUGAUGCAAGAUAGGUGCACAGUUUGCACAGGACAUACCAUAUUCAAGGAAAUAAAUUUAGACACACCCGAUGGAACUCUUAGAUGACGUGUGUCAUAUGGAGUCUCGCUUCGGUCUGUUUAGAGACAGAGUUAGUUUCGGUGCAAGAUAGGUGCACAGUUUGUGCCUAAUGCACAUAGGCUAAGAAAUGAUUUUGGACGCACCCGAUUAUACACCUAGGUAAAGGGGCUUAAGUGAAUGCUCGGUUUGGUCUGUUUGGAGAUAGUGCUAAUCUUGAUGUAAGAUAGGUGCACGGUUUGCAUGGAAUGUACCAUAUGCUUAGAAAUCAGUUUGGAUGCACCCGAUAGAACUCUUGGAUGACGUGUGUCAUAUGGAUUCUCACUUUGGUCCACAUGGAGAUAGUGUUAGUUUCGGUCCAAGAUAGGUGCUCGGUGUGCAUGAAAUAUACCAUAUGCUUGAAAAUCAAUUUGCACACACCCGAUAUAACUCCUAGAUGAUGUGUGUCAUAUAAUAUCUCACUUUGGUCCAUUUGGAGAAAGUGUUAGUUUUGGUGCAAGAUCGGUGCACGGUUUGUGCCUAAUACACCAUACUCUAAGAAACCAUUUUGGACGCAACCGAUGGUACAAUCCACUGAAGAGGCUCAAGUGGAAGCUCGGUUCGGUCUAUUUGGAGAUAGUGCUAAUCUUGAUGCAAGAUAGUUACAUAGUUUGCAUGGAACAUACCUUAUGCUCAGAAAUCAAUUUGGACGCAUCCGAUAGAACUUCUAGAUGACGUGUGUCAUAUGUAAUCUUGCUUUGGUCCAUUUGGAGUAAGUGUUAGUAUCGAUGCAAGAUAGGUGCACGGUUUGCGCCUAAUGCACCGCAGGCUAAGAAACCAUUUUGGACGCACCCAAUGGUACUCCUAGGUGAAGUGGCUCAAGUGAAAGCUCGGUUCAGUCCAUUUGGAGAUAGUGCUACUCUUGAUGCAAAAUAGGUGCACAGUUUACAUGGAACGUACCAUAUGCUUGAAAAUCAAUUUGGUCGCACCUGAUGGAACUCCUAGAUGACGUGUUUCAUAUAGAAUCUCGUUUCGGUCCGUUUGGAGACAGUGUUAGUUUUGGUGCAAGAUAGGUGCAUAGUUUGUGCCUAAUGCACCAUAGCCUAAGAAACCAUUUUGGGUGCACCUGUUGGUACUCCUAGAUGAAGAGGCUCAAGUGCAAGCUGGGUUCGGUCUGCUUGGAGAUACUGCUAAUCUUGAUGCAAGAUAGGUGCAUGGUUUGCAUGGAACAUACCAUAUGCUCAGAAAUCAAUUUCGACGCACCCGAUGGAACUCCUAGAUGACGUGUGUCAUAUGGAAUCUCGAUUUGGUCCGUUUGGAGAUAGUGUUAGUUUCGGUGCAAGAUAGGUGCACAUUGGAACUAUGCACCUAUCUUAGACUAUGGUGCAAGAUUCCAUAUGACACACAUCUUGCCUAUGGUGCAAGAUAGGUAUCUUCUACCAAAACUAACACUGUCUCUAAACGAACCGAAGCAAGAUUCCAUAUGACACAUCAUCAAGGAGUUAUAUUAGGUGCGUCCUAAUUGAUUUAUGAGCAUAUCGUAUGUUCCAUGCAAACCGUGCAUCUAUCUUGCAUCAAGAUUAGCACUAUCUCCAAACAAACCAAACCGAGCUUUCACUUGAGCACCUUGACCUAGUAGUACCAUCAAGUGCAUCCAAAAUGGUUUCUUAUCCUAUGGUGCAUUAGGUGCAAACCAUGCACCUAUCUUGCACCGAAACUAACAUUGUCUCCAAAUGGACCGAAGUGGGAUUCCAUAUUACACAUGUCAUCUAGAAGUUCCAUCUGGUGCAUCCAAAUUGAUUUCCAAGCAUAUGUAUGUUCCAUGCAAACCGUGCACCCAUCUUGCAUCAAGAUUAGCACUAUCUCCAAACAGACCGAACCAAGCUUCCACUUGAGCCUCUUCAUCUAGGAGUACAAACAGGUAUGUCAAAAAUGGUUUCUUAGACUAUGGUGCAUUAGGCACAAACUAUUGUUGGGUAUUCUUAACAUCAUUACCAAAAGUAGACUAAGUUCUCUAAAUCUAGUAACGGUGCCAAAAAUGCCAAACCUAUCCCUCAUACCACUUAAGCCAAGUUGUCAUCCCCAGCAUGAUAUAAGAGACGCGGUAUUGAAAUAUGCAAUUGCUCUUCUAAAUAAAUAAUGAAUGGGAUCUGCAAGCACACAGAUUAAUACCGAUGUAGCCUUUUAACCGGGAAGUAUUCCAGGUAUCGUUAUUUAUAUUUUUACCACUGGGAAGGGAUUCGCAAUCAUCACUAUUGAUUACAUAAUAGAAUAUGAGAUUGAGCAUCUAUCAUUGCAUGUAUAAUUGAGAACAUUAUAUCUAACUCUUCAUACAGGGAUAAGUGUCACAUAAAAUAUAUAUGAAGUAAUAAUAGUGACAAGGAUAAUUAAUCUGAUCUAGCCACAUAAUAAAUAUGAUAAGCACCUCAAUUAGAUACUCUAGAAAGUCAUUAGCAUGGUAUUAGAACGAACUACAAGAAUAUUCCCUAAGUUAUUCUCAACUAUAUAGUCUAGCAUUAUCAUAGUUAGUGCAAGCAUACUUAGCAAUCAUUGCGAGACAAGACUACGCCCAUGCAUAAUGAUAUUAGCAAGGAAUAUGAGAAACAUAGCAAUCACUCCCCUGUAAUAAUGUUGCUCUGCCAGCCCAAUACACGAGAGGGGGACUAUAUAAGAAUCAAUGAAGCUGUCACUAUCAUGAACCAGCCCACGAUCUGGCAUAUUGGGUACAAUCGCAGAUAAAUACGGUAUAAGCACCACGCCUACACAAUAUCUAUCAUUUACCCAUGGAUCCGAUGGAUAAACGCUAUACGAUCCUAAGCAUGUAUAUAGAUCGAAUCUAACUAAGCCAAGUACAUAACUAUGAUAAACUAAGAACAAUAUAAUCUUGAAUAUAAGCAAGUAGAGCAAAGUCAUAAGCAAUAUAUUGAAAUAGAACAAAGUCAUAUUCAUAAUAUUGAAGAACAAAGAUAAUUAGAAAGCUAGAACCACAAUUAGAGAAUUACCAAGAAUCCUCCUGACAGAUCCGGAAACCAAUCGAAGAUUGACUCCUUCUAGUUCUAAUCCUAUGUAGCUAUGCUAAUCUAGAUAUCUAAUUGAUGUGGUGGCUAUAAUCUUGAUCAGAGGCUUCUUCUCCCUUGAUGGAACAAUGAAUUAGGGUUGAGAGGCUCUCUCCUCCAGGGGCCAGGGGGUCUGGUUUUAUAGUCCCUCCAAGUGAAUACGGGCCGUUGGAUCAAACCGACAUAGAUUGUAUGGUUUAGAUUCAUCCUUUAGGUCGGUGGAGAUCUCCCGCGAAGCAGAGUCCUGAUUGGACUCAGGGGCAGGGCGGGCGCCCAGUAGGACAGGGCGGGCGCCCUGUCUCUGGCCCCGUUUCGCCUCCGCUUCGGUCUUGUGGCUUCUGGAGUCUUCUAGAUGUAAGAUAAUUGCGCAGCACGUUAAUAUCUUUACGUAAUCCCGACGUGUCGGCCUUUCUUCCGUAUUUCCUGAUAACCCCCUGCAGAAAUAGACAAACACCAAAACUCGUGGAAUUCUGUCAGAUAAAACCCUAAGUCUAGAUGUUGAUUUCAUUUGGAUCCUUUUCUUUAUUUAUUUGAUAAUUAAAUUUGAUACUUAAGGACCGUCAGCAAACUCCCCCAAGCUUACCUCUUGCUCGUCCCUGAGCAAGGAUAGACUCAGCUAUGGAUCAUAAGUUGUUGCAAUAUUUAAAAAUUGACGGUACACAUGCUUUUUAAAUAAGAUCUCAUCUCUGAGUUAGAGUAAACUGUCAAGACUUAAAACUUACUUACUUUACCUUCACCAUGGGACUUGUAACCAUCACUUCUAUCUUGAGUGGUUAAAAGAUAGAACAGUCUAGCCAAGUGCCAUGUCUCUUAUUCUUGAUCAGCUAUAGCUCUGGAGUUUUUGCAGUUUUUCAAAUAAAACUCAGAGACUCCUUGUAUGAUUCUCUCAGAUCUCUCUUUUGUGGUAUUUUUGGAUCCUUACCAAGGCAGUGAUGGUAUAUGCCUUCUCUCAAGAUAUGUGGUAUUUGUGGUAUAAAGCAUAGUGACAUUGCCUUCUCUCUCACCCUACUCUAAUAAGGCUUUAAUAUCUGGAGCUCAUAGGUGGGAGAUAAAUUAUACAUACUUACAAGACAUUUAUUGCAUAGUCAAACCAUGGAUCCAAAUAAACAAAUCAAUAAGCCAAAUCAAGAUGUGCAUGUGUGGCGAAUGAAUGGUGUAUGGUGAUGAUGGUGAUAACAAUGGUGGGAACAAUGGUGGUGGUCUAAUUCUACUUUGCUCUUUGAGGGGAUACAUACCUUCCUUGCUUUUUGAAACUUUAUGAGGAGAAUGAGAUGCUCUUCUUUUUCUUUUCUCUCAGGUGGGUAUCUGGUACCCCUAAUUCUACUGUCAGACACUUGUCCAUUUUUACCUCUCGUCUCACUUUUUUUUUCUCUCGAGGUUCCGAGCACUUGCUCCUUUUUAUUUCCUCGUAUAUAUAUAUAUAUUUUUAUAUUUUAUUUUCUUUUUAUUUUUUUCAGAGCAUUCAUCUCUUGAGAUAACAUAGCAAGUGGUAGUGACAAGAUAACUUGAGCAUUUAUUUCACAAGGGAAAAACAGGAAUAUUUUUGGUUAUUCUCUCCCGGAUUAGGAGUAGAACAUUUUUAGGUGGUUCUGGAGAUGGAAAUGGAUGGAUAUAUGUGGAUGGUACUUCCGGAGUAGAAGUAGCAUAUAUGAGUGGACGUGCAAGUGAAAUCUUGAUUUAACCACAUGACAAGCUCCUAAGGGUCUACACGGCUUGACCACACUCAAUGCUCAUAAGCAGUAAAUAAUAAAUGUGUGGCUCAAAGUCUAGCAAGCAUGUAUAUAUGGCUGUGGUAGGAAUUUAAACUCUCAUCAUACAGGAACUCAUCAUGCAACAUUUUAAAGAUUUUCAAAGAUAAAAUUCUCCAGAAUUCUAGCAUCUCUAGGAACAGAUAAACAGCAGCUCAACCUUUCCAUAUCAUAUCCGUUAACAACUUAGACUUUAGAUCAAGUUUUCAUCCCACAAGUUUAGGUCUAGAGCAAGCUUUAAAUUAUAACAGUUAUGUCUAAACUUGAGAGAGAACUUAAAAUGUGCAAAUUAGGCAGAGCAACUAUUCAUCAUAUCCAUGCUUAAGUUUUAUUUAGAUACAGAUUAGCAUAGCCACUUUAUUUAUUUAUUAAACACACUAAGCAAAAGACAAAUAUUUAUAUAAGUAGAAAAUCUUUAUUUAUUUUUUCAUAGUUUAUGUAUUUUAAUAUAAGUAUAAAGAUAGAUAGAUAGAAAUACUUAUCGAGAUAAAUGGGGGUGCUCUCCCCCAAGCUGAAUUUUGACGUAAUUUCUUUUGACGUAGCUAGCAGGUGGCAGAGGUGUAUUUGAAAGUCAGCAGCAUUCUGACAGCGAUUAGAAUGUCCUCCGUCUGCUAGUCUUCUUGAUUCUUAAAUUCUGUGGAGCUCAAAUAGACAACAAAGCUUGUGAAACUGAUUAAGUGUUAGCAUAAAUAUCUAGCCUUUAUCAUCUUGAGACUCCUUAAUAAUUAUUACUCCCUAUUUUUAUAUUUUUAUUUUAUAAAGCAGAAAAUAAAUAUUUAUUUUAUUUUAUGCCACCACAGUGAAUAUACUUAUGGGUUUUAUGCCAUUCGUAUACUCACAUGGGGCUUAUAUUUUUAUUUUCUUUUUAGGAUAAUACGAACAUAAUUAACUAAGUAAACUAUUUGAAAUAAUUGAAAGGGAAAGGAUAACUACCAAGUUUACCUCUUAGCAAGGCGUUCGGUGUUUUUAAGUCAUCCGAAUGGGACUCUCCAUUUUCUUAAUCGUCCUGAGGUUCGUUGGGUGGCGUAGUCGGUACUUCCGGCAGCGCCUCCUCUUCUUGUAUAGUUAUCUUCAUUUUCCAUACCUGACUCGGUGCUUCAAUCUCCUCUGGAUAAUUCUGUUUAAACUCUACAUCGUCUGACCUUAUCACUUCUCCUUCGUAGUCUGCCCAUCCGUCCCUGAUGAUCUGCCUCCUCUGGUUGCGGUUGCGUCUUUUCCUUACCUGCUUAGAUUCUUCAAUGAUAUAGUUAGGGUCAGUAAAAUAACGGCGUACCUUCUCUGAGGGGAAGUGCAUAUGGACUUCUCCGGUUUCAAUGUAGAUAAUUGCUUUAACAGUGCUGAGGAACGGUCUUCCAAGGAUGAUGGGUGGAUCAUACUCGUCUUCUCCCAUGUCAACAACUUGAAAGUCUGUGUAGACAAAGUGAUCGUCUAUUUUGACUGGGACAUCAGUUACUGUUCCUUUAACUUCUCAAAAUGUCUGAUCUGCCAUCUGGAGCUGAAUGUAUGUUGGUCUUAGUGGCAUGGUUCCGAACAAGAGCCGAUAGGUGCCUGUGGCCAUUAUGUUGACGCCCGAUCCGGUGUCGCAAAUCGUCUUGUAGAAGUUGUAUCCAUUUAUGGAGCAGUAGAUGCUUGGCAUUCCUGGGUCGUCCUUCUUGGUUAAAAACGGUGACUUAAGUUGAUGAUCUUGGCCUCCAUGAACUACAGUGACCAUCUUAGCUGACUCGGUCCACACUUGCUUGUUCCUGUUCCUCCUGUUGGUCCUCUUCCUUGAUUUAUGUCUGGAUUGAUCUGGAAUUUGUGUAGUCUUGUUCUUGAAGAAAAAUGUCUCCUUCUUCCCUUUGACGUAGAAACUGAUCUUGGCAGCACUAGCGUAGAUGAUAGCUCCCGUGGUGUUCAAGAAUGGCCUCCCUAAGAUGAUGGGUGCCCUCUCAUCAUUUCUGGUCUCUACUACUACGAAGUCUGCUGGGGCAUAUAAGGUACCAACUCGAACACAAAGGUUCUUCACUAUUCCUUUU